rnacentral:rRNA from 1 species
AGGAUGAACGCUAGCGGCAGGCCUAAUACAUGCAAGUCGGACGGGAUUGGAGAGCUUGCUUUCCAUGAGAGUGGCGCACGGGUGCGUAACACGUAUGUAACCUACCCUUGUCAGGGGGAUAGCCUCUCGAAAGAGAGAUUAAGACCGCAUAACAUUGUAAUGUGGCAUCACAAAACAAUCAAAUAUUUAUAGGACAAGGAUGGGCAUGCGGAACAUUAGCUAGUUGGUAAGGUAAAGGCUUACCAAGGCUACGAUGUUUA